UCAGUCGGUAGAGCAUCAGACUUU
rnacentral:piRNA from 5 species